ACGACAUGGUUCCUCGCUCGAACCGGCUCUAAUACCAACUGUCACGGACUUAGCAUUUUUGUUCGCAAAGCCCGUGCGGCGCCCACAUUUCCUGCUCGAAGAUGGACAAGCCUUUGUCCCUGUUGCUAGCCCGGACCUUCGCGUCCUACGACUAAGUAUUACAGCACACAAUACACUCUCUCUUGUGUGUCUUGGCCUUAGCCAACCCCACUAUUUAUAGGCCUAAUAAGCCUUUUCAACUCACCCACUAUUGCAUACAUAAUGAGCCCUUAUAAUAGCCAAAAACUCAAGAGUCAUCCAUAACUCCCAUGAGUUUCAUAACCCUUGAGUUUCCCACAGCGGGUUAGGUUUGGGUCUCCUUGACAACCUGAUUCAACCUAUUUUCAACCCGAACUCGCUAAGCAGAUUUGGGCCAGGGACCGGGCUGCAUAGAAAUUUUUCUAAGUCCCUGACACGGGGCUUCGGUACUAUAGUCCCGUUUUCGAUUUUAGGGUGUUCAAAUCAACGAUCCACACCGUUAAAAUUGAUCUAGGGUAUUUAAAGUUUUUAAAAAUAAAAUUUUAUAUUUUUUCGACAUAGUUUACUUUAUGAUCAAACCAUUUCAAAAUUGUUAAAUUUCAAUAGCUACUUUGACGAGUUUAGAGUUUAACGGUGUAGAAGAAUUUAAACUUCUUCAAAUUUUGAUAAAAAAUACUUUAAACUAUCUAUAUUAAGGUUAACAUUCUUGAUCUUGAUUUUAAAAGUCCUAUACUAAAAUUUUAAAGAUUAUUCAGUUUCCACCGUCUAUUUUGACAUAAUUUAUUUACUAAGUAAACGAUGUCGAAAAAAACUAAAAUUUUAUUCCUAAGAACUUCAUAUACCCUAGAUCAUAUUUAACGGCAUGGAUCGUUAAUUUGAACGCCCUAAGAUCAAAAACAAGACUAUAGUACCGGAGCUCCGCUACUAUAGAUAGUAUAGUAGCCUAAUUCUAUAUAUAUAUAAUAGGGCUAUACUCUUAUGAGUAUAGAGCUCUUCGUACUCAUAAGUUGUUUUCGAUGUUGGGGCUUUCGAAUCGACGAUCCACACCAUUAAACAUGAUCUAGAAUAUUUGAAACUUUUAGAAAAUAAAUUUCGCAAUUUUUCGAAACCAUUAUAAAGUUCAUCAGGCGGGUAUAAAUUAACAUUUAAAAUCAAACGACAUCCUAAAAAUGGAUGAUUGGAUCUUUCAAUCAAUUUAAGAUCGGAGUUAUUGAUCUUUACUUAGGUAGUGAAUAGAAUUUUCUAUCAAAAAUUCAACAUAUUUUGAUUCUUUUAUACCGUUAAACUAGCAAAUAUCUUAUACCGACCGUUAAAAAUUGUCAAUUUUGUGAGUUUUUGAUUGUAAGGUAAUUAAUAUCGAAAAAUUAUAAAAUUUGAAUUUUAAAAGUUUUAAAUACUCUAAAUAAUGUUUAACGGUAUGGAUCGUCGAUUCGGAAGCUCUAUUAUUAAAAAUAACUUAUGAGUACGAAGGCAAUCGUACUCAUAAGAGUAUAAUAGCCAAACUAUAUAUAUAUACAUAUAUAUAUAUAUAUACUAGUUAUAUAUAUA
rnacentral:lncRNA from 1 species